rnacentral:rRNA from 1 species
ACCGGCGGCUCGAGUGGUGGCCACUAUUACUGGGCUUAAAGCGUUCGUAGCUGGCUUGUUAAGUCUCUGGGGAAAUCUUCCGGCUCAACCGGAAGGCGUCUCAGGGAUACUGGCAGGCUAGGGAUCGGAAGAGGUGAGAGGUACUCCAGGGAGAGGAGUGAAAACCUGUGAUCCGUGGGGGACCACCGGAGGCGGAGGCGUCAAACCGGGACGGCCCCGACAGUGAGGAACGAAAGCUGGGGGAGCAAAGAG